rnacentral:rRNA from 1 species
UUACACAUGCAGUCGAGCGGGGAAGUAUAGCUUGCUAUACGACCUAGCGGCGGACGCCUUUUAAGGCUUAGGAAUCUGCCUAUUAGUGGGGGACAACAUUCUGAAAGGAAUGCUAAUACCGCAUACGCCCUACGGGGGAAAGCAGGGGAUCUUCGGACCUUGCGCUAAUAGAUGAGCCUAAGUCAGAUUAGCUAGUUGGUGGGGUAAAGGCCUACCAAGGCGACGAUCUGUAGCGGGUCUGAGAGGAUGAUCCGCCACACUGGGACUGAGACACGGCCCAGACUCCUACGGGAGGCAGCAGUGGGGAAUAUUGGACAAUGGGCGAAAGCCUGAUCCAGCCAUGCCGCGUGUGUGAAGAAGGCCUUUUGGUUGUAAAGCACUUUAAGCGAGGAGGAGGCUACCGAGAUUAAUACUCUUGGAUAGUGGACGUUACUCGCAGAAUAAGCACCGGCUAACUCUGUGCCAGCAGCCGCGGUAAUACAGAGGGUGCGAGCGUUAAUCGGAUUUACUGGGCGUAAAGCGUGCGUAGGCGGCUUUUUAAGUCGGAUGUGAAAUCCCUGAGCUUAACUUAGGAAUUGCAUUCGAUACUGGGAAGCUAGAGUAUGGGAGAGGAUGGUAGAAUUCCAGGUGUAGCGGUGAAAUGCGUAGAGAUCUGGAGGAAUACCGAUGGCGAAGGCAGCCAUCUGGCCUAAUACUGACGCUGAGGUACGAAAGCAUGGGGAGCAAACAGGAUUAGAUACCCUGGUAGUCCAUGCCGUAAACGAUGUCUACUAGCCGUUGGGGCCUUUGAGGCUUUAGUGGCGCAGCUAACGCGAUAAAUAGACCGCCUGGGGAGUACGGUCG